rnacentral:misc_RNA from 1 species
UGGUUUGGGGAAGGAUUGUUGGAAGUCAGCUGCUAUGGUGAAGUAAAUAUGGCUGAUCUGAUGUGAAUGACAAAAUAAUUGCAUGAUAUUGGGAUGACAAAAGAAACUACUCAAUUAAAAAAAAAUUGAAAACCUUAAAUAUUUAGGUUAGAAUACAUUGUGGAAUUGAGGUGGCUGACGAAUGAAAGUAUGGCCCAGUGAUAGGUUUUAGGUGGGUGAAUUGAUAGACAGUAGAGGUUAUCAUUGCUAAAGAUAAGCAGUAAGUAGCUAUACAAGCAUGAUUUGUUACUUCCAAAAAUUCACUCUUUUGGCGUGCAAGAAAGUGGCCUUUUCCCUGUGCCCGUCUAACUUUGUGAGAUGGAGGGAGGGGAGGAAGGAAUAUUGACUACUAGAAUAUUAAGAUGCUUAAAUUAUAUUAUCAUGAUACAGAGCCAUUCUUUAUUAACAGUAGGCUUUUGGAAGCAAAUUGGCCUCAAGUUAGCGGAUUAGAUUUUCUGGGCAUAAAAAUUGUUGUAUGGGCAAGAUACUCUUUGUUUUAGUCCCCCAUGUUCUCUUACCUGUUUACUCCAUGUAUUACAGCUAGUUUGAGUAAUAACUUUGAGCUGUGUUGCUUCUGUUAGCUUGCAUUGUCUGUACAAGACCCCCGACUGUUUCUUUCUUUCCCAGGUGAAAUCUUUUAAGGAGGAAAAUUUUUGUAUUAUUCUCUGUACAGAUAUCUCCAGAGGAUAUCCAAU